GACCGUCGGCAUUGGAUAUCUCGGCUCUCACAUCGAUGAAGAACGUAGUAAAAUGCGAUAUUUGGUGUGAAUUGUAGAAUCCUGCGAACUAUCAAGUUUUUGAACUCAAGUUACGCCCGAAGCCGUCUGGCCGAAGGCAUGCCUGCCUAGGUGUCA